rnacentral:misc_RNA from 1 species
AAAACAUAGAUUAAAUGCAUAAAACAGACCCACCAACAAAAUGAAGGCAAAAGGAAUGUCCACAAUAAAAGAACUACAGUAAACUAGAAGCCGAUAUCCAUAUCCGAUCUUUCCCAAUUUUCAGAUCUGAAUAAAUUUCCAAAUCAGGAUCCCAGAUUCAAUAACUUAAAUCAAUCAAACCAUGCAAAACAAAUCCCAGAAAAUAAGCAGGAAAUGAGAUCAAAAUGUUGAAUCUCGAACUUCAAAAUCCACCAAAAAAAAUAAAAAAUCCCAACUCAAUUAAAUCCAUAAUCCAAUCAUUCGUAUUAAGCAAACCAUACUAAAUUCUG